GGGUCAGUAGGCUGGUCGUUCCACAGGUACGUACUGGUCUCACUGAUUCCUCCUUCCUGAAGAACCGUAAUGCCUUUAAUUUGGUGUUGCGGGGAAACAGGACUGUUACUUUGAAAAAAUUAGAGUGUUUAAAGCAAGCUAACGCUUGAAUACAUUAGCAUGGAAUAAUGAAAUAGGACGAUCGAUCCUAUUUUGUUGGUUUCUAGGAUUGACGUA
rnacentral:rRNA from 1 species